UCCAAAGCUGAUAAUUUGCAUGCAAUGAAGUACUGAAGGUAUAUUAAGUUAUUGUUACAUUCACUGGGUUUGGAGAAAUUUAUAACCAUUUCCAUUUUUCAGAUUUCACCAUUGUGAAAUGCAUUGAUACAUGUCGGGAAAGGCCUCACUUUCACUGUUGUUACUGUGAAAAGACAGUAAUCAAUAGGUCCCUGUUGAUGACCCACAUAUUAUGCCAUCCUGCACGUAAUGAUGUGGACCAGCCAGCAGCUACGCCUGAUUCAGACCUUCAGUUUGCUAAUGCCAUCACUGAAAGCUCAACAGGGUCUUGUCCAAUAAUGGAGAUGGAAAAUCUGAUGACUGCUGAUGUUGUGGAUGAGUUAGUAACAUCAGUCCAACAAGUGAAGCCUAAAACAGCUGAUUAGGUUCAUUGCAACUUGAAGCUUUUAAAGAACAACUUAAGAAAACCAAAAACAACGUUGACUUUGCCCAUUUGAAUGUGACCACUUGCAGUCCUUAUCUUAUUGCCCACAUGUUGAUAAAACACAGACUGAGCUUGCAGAAGACACACUGUCUGUUACAGCUGAGCAGAAGUGGUUUGGAGCAGCAAGGAAACAUCAGUUAAUUCAGCUGAAGAAAGAUGCUGCAGCCAAAGGUGUUCCUUUGUCAGUGUCAGUGCAAAUAGGUGGCCCACCCAACAAAUUUGAACAAAAACGUUCGUGUUACAGCAGACUUGGAAGAGUAAUGGUGAUACGAUUUGAAGAAAAACACCUGGCACUGCCCCUGUUCAGUGCCAAGGAAGUCUUGUAUACAUAAAGCUGUGUCAAAGUGGCAUCUCUUUCACACACAAAAAGAAAUGUUCAAGAAGGUCAAAAGUGUCAAGAAGGUCCCGACAGAUUCAACUGAUGGAAGGAGUGAACACAACUGCUAUCCACCAUCUGACAUAAACAUCAAAAAAAUUAUCCAGUACAUGACAGCAUACAACCUAACCCUAAUUACCAAGAACUUACUAGAUCUAUCCAGAGAUUCAUCGUCCUGCCAGUCCUUUCCAAGACACCUGGUGCCCAUGGAAGUGAAAUGCACAGAGUGUAAAGACCAAACAGUAUUGUAAUAAAGAAGUAAAGGCCCUUUGUAAGGGGUGUGGAAUACACUGUAAAGGCUCCAAGAUACGUAGAUCUAAUCUUCCGACUAAGGGAGAGGAUGUCAAAUAGAGUCACCUAUAACAAGUUGUUUGAAAAAGUAUGGGGUGCAUCUGGUGGCUGGCCUUUCAUAACAUGCCCGUGUGGAAUUGUGUACUCCCUUAAAUUUAACAUCAGAGCAGAGAGUCCCCUUGAUUACACAGACCUCCUCCUUUUCGUGGAAGCAUUUACCCAAUGUUACUGUGUAUGACUACCCAAGAGGAUUAGCCUCUCAUGGAAACCAACGUGCACACAAUCUCUUCCAACCCUUUGAAGGUCACUUACUUCAUCCAUCUGAUGAAAAUAUCAAGGAGGCAUCUGAAAAUCAGUUAGAAGUCAGUUUGUCAUGGCUGAACUACAAAAAAGUACCAGCUGAUCAAGGUGUUCACCCUGUCACUUGAUCAUCGCACCACUAUGCACAAUGUGACGUGUUCCAUCAGAACAACAGAAAGGAUGACAGCUGAGCAACUUUUUUCAGAAAUGAGGAAAUAAAUCUACUUCAUGUACAUGAUGAAGCCAUCAUCUCACAUUUUCCUGGCCAGGAAUAUUUUGCACCAUAAAAAUGUGGCAAAGAACAAGAAAGUUGUUAAAAAAAAUUCACACAAGAGAGCAUCGAAUUACAGUUGUAAUGGAAAAGUUAUGUUGGGUGCAGCUCUUAAUCGUUGAACAACAGCACAGUCCUCUGAAACUGCUAAUGUGGAACUGUCCAGUCACAGUGUGAUGAGCUCAGAGGUGGACACUUGAAAAGUGGUCACAAGCCGCCCUACAUGGGUCAAGUUAAAAAGAACUUUGUGGGUUCCAGAGGACUUGCUGCCAAAUAGAGCAUCAUGGGGUCAACCAGUACCACCAGAUCUUCAGGAAAGGGUUGCAUAUGCAUUGGAUCCCAACAAUGACCCAAAUUAACCUAUUGCUUCUGUGGGAUCAGCUGUGUUGACCCCUGCAGAUUUUUGGUCUUUAGGAUUGGCUGAGGACCUUGAAGCAUCGGUAACAGCAAUACAAAAAAAAAUAUUAUUAAAAUAUUACAGACAUUGAAGUGUAAAACUAUUUUUCCUUUUUUCUAGAUUUUAAACUGUUGCCUUAGGAUUGCAGAGCAAAUUGCUUUUCAUCUGGUAAAUUAAGGCAAAAGAACUGGAGCUUUUAUUAAGAAUCAAAAUAAAUUUGCAUGUAUGUGACAUUUCUUCUCCUGUUUAAUGAUAUUAUUGUUUAAGCUGUUGACGCCUAUGUAGUAGCAACCUGGCUGCCACCACUGGCUGCCAUUACAGAGAUUUUUGUAAAACAUUGAAUGUAUGUUUUACAGAUUAUGAAACCAAAGAUAUAUCAGGUUAGUCUAAAUUGAAGUUCUCUAUGGAGUUAAAGCAUAUUUUUGUAAUGUGGCCUGAAGGAAAGAGUAUAUUCAUGGAAAAACAUUUUAUGAAUAUCAUUCUGAUUUGUACAUAGCUCCCCAUUGAAAUUCUUUCAAUGAUCUUGAAAGUAGUUGUAGCAACUGGAGAUUGUGCAUACUUGACCUUGUCAUUGGUAUGCAGAUGUGGUCAUGGAUGAGUACUUUCAGAAAGAAGCGCACUUUGCCUGGCUAGACAGUGUUGCCAAGUGGAAGAAAUUCUCUCAGCGGUACGGUGUUGAAUUCAGGAAGAGCUUCAGCAUCAGGGAGUGUUUGGAGUGCCAAUCCCUUUUCAAGUCUUCUCCACCAGGGUACAAGGGGAGUGGCAGAAGAGGCGAACUUCUGGGUUUUUAUUCAGAAGGUGAUACACAGGCUUUUGCUCCCAGGACUGUUUUUUGUGGCCGGAGGCAUGCCACAAUAUCAGUUAAAUUCAAUUUGGCUUGCAGCGUUUAAAAAGUUCACUUGCAUUGAUUGGUUUUUAAGUACCAAUAGAAGUUUCCACUGCAAACUCAUGUUUCCCUCAUGUGCUUAUAUUGGUUCUGUAUGACUUUUCAAAUGUAAGCAUUUGAUCAUUAUUUUAAGGUUCAAAGGGUUAUUUAAUAUGUUUCUCUGAGACAUUACGCAUUAAAAAUUGAAUUAGUCCAUUCAUUCA